GCUCGGCUGAGCGGGCGGACUCUCCCACAGUGAGCACAGACCGAGCCGGCAGCCCCUCCCCGCAGCUCCGGCGGAGGAGAGGCACAGUGUCCCCUACCCAAUCUGGGAGGUGGUCCGCAACACGUGUGGGCCGUCGGUCCAGACCAGCGGAAACGGGCGGGGGCCGCUGCCAUGAUUCCGGUCAAGAAGCACAAAAGCGGCGGCCGCGAACAAAGAAGCGCUGCAAACUCGCCGGGAAGGCGGGAUAGCCCGCGCCGCGCCCCCUCCCCACGCCAGGCGGGCGUGCCCGGGGUCCCCGUGGCUCCCCGACGGCGUUCUUACCUGGCCCGCGCGGACCUCCUUCUCCAGCUCGCGGUGGCGGUUAUGCCACACGAGGAGAGGAAGUGACUGAUUCCAGAGACUGUCUCCUUCCUGAAUAACCCCAAGACAAGGAGUUCCCUUAUGCACUAUACAUGGAGGAUUAACGUCCAGGACAAAUCCAGAAAUAGAAGUUUGUGAUGACAACAUGACCUGUCCUUCAGAAAGGUUUCUUUGUGCAGGCUUCUCUCCUUCCUCCUCCACACCCCGCGGUGCCAGGCUCCGGCGGGAAAAGGAGGAGGUAGGAGUGGACGCUUCGCCCCUUUCUGCAGCCUGGGAAGAGCCAGCGGGAGCCUCCGGGAGCCUGGGACCGCUGCCCACCUCUACCACGAGGGGUCAGCAGAGUGUCGCGGCUGCGGCGAGAGUUGGGGAGGUGGCUGGAGCAGGGGAGGGACUGCUAGGGGAGGCCGGGAGAAUGCCAACACAUUUCCUCAUUAAAUUGU